UACGAAGGGUGCAAGCGUUACUCGGAAUUACUGGGCGUAAAGCGUGCGUAGGUGGUUUGUUAAGUCUGAUGUGAAAGCCCUGGGCUCAACCUGGGAAUUGCAUUCGAGACUGAAUAGCUAGGGUACGGUAGAGGGAAGUGGAAUUUCCGGUGUAGCGGUGAAAUGCGUAGAUAUCGGAAGGAACAUCAGUGGCGAAAGCGACUUCCUGGACCAGUACCGACGUUCAGGCACGAAAGCGUGGGGAGCAAACAGG
rnacentral:rRNA from 1 species